rnacentral:rRNA from 1 species
UACGGAGGAUGCGAGCGUUAUCCGGAUUUAUUGGGUUUAAAGGGUGCGUAGGCGGGCUGUUAAGUCAGCGGUCAAAUGUCGGGGCUCAACCCCGGCCUGCCGUUGAAACUGGUGGCCUCGAGUGGGCGAGAAGUAUGCGGAAUGCGUGGUGUAGCGGUGAAAUGCAUAGAUAUCACGCAGAACUCCGAUUGCGAAGGCAGCAUACCGGCGCCCGACUGACGCUGAAGCACGAAAGCGUGGGUAUCGAACAGG